UACAGAGGGUGCGAGCGUUAAUCGGAAUUACUGGGCGUAAAGGGCGCGUAGGCGGACGUAAGAGUGUGAUGUGAAAGCCCCGGGCUUAACCUGGGAAGAGCAUCGCAAACGCUAUGUCUGGAGUAUAUGAGAGGGUGGCGGAAUUUCCGGUGUAGCGGUGAAAUGCGUAGAGAUCGGAAGGAACGUCAAUGGCGAAGGCAGCCACCUGGCAUAAUACUGACGCUGAAGCGCGAAAGCGUGGGUAGCGAACAGG
rnacentral:rRNA from 1 species